rnacentral:rRNA from 1 species
AUUGAACGCUGGCGGCAGGCUUAACACAUGCAAGUCGAGCGGGGUGAUGGUGCUUGCACUAUCACUUAGCGGCGGACGGGUGAGUAAUGCUUAGGAAUCUGCCUAUUAGUGGGGGACAACAUCUCGAAAGGGAUGCUAAUACCGCAUACGUCCUACGGGAGAAAGCAGGGGAUCACUUGUGACCUUGCGCUAAUAGAUGAGCCUAAGUCGGAUUAGCUAGUUGGUGGGGUAAAGGCCUACCAAGGCGACGAUCUGUAGCGGGUCUGAGAGGAUGAUCCGCGACACUGGGACUGAGCAACGGCCCAGACGCAUACGGGAGGCAGAAGUGGGGAAUAUUGGACAAUGGGGGGAACCCUGAUCCAGCCAUGCCGCGUGUGUGAAGAAGGCCUUAUGGUUGUAAAGCACUGUAAGCGAGGAGGAGGCUCUUUUGGUUAAUACCCAGGAUGAGUGGACGUUACUCGCAGAAUAAGCACCGACUAACUCUGUGCCAGCAGCCGCCGUAAGAC